UGGUUCUGGCACCGAUGAAGAACGCAGCGAAAUGCGAUAAGUAAUGCGAAUUGCAGAUUUCUAGUGAGUCAUCGAAUUUUUGAACGCAUAUUGCGCCCUUUGGUGUUCCGAAGGGCAUGCCUGUCCGAGCGUCAUUAUCACCUCUCAAGCUUGGGCUUGUUGUUGGAUUUGGUCGCAGUGCGUACUGCACAGCGACGGUCCGAAAGAUAAUGGCGGUGUCGAGUCCGACCCCUUGUACAAUGAGCUUCACGGCUCGUAUGAGUGGAUAGUUGGCCGACCCGGUUCAAACUUUAUUCUAACCACAAAGUUGACCUCGGAUCAGGUAGGGAUACCCGCUGA
rnacentral:misc_RNA from 1 species